rnacentral:rRNA from 1 species
AGACGUCUACAUUAGAUACCCCCGGUAGUCCCAGCCGUAAACUAUGCUCGCUAGGUGUCAGGCAUGGCGCGACCGUGUCUGGUGCCGCAGGGAAGCCGUGAAGCGAGCCACCUGGGAAGUACGGCCGCAAGGCUGAACUUAAGGAAUUGGCGGGGGAGCACAACAACGGGUGGAGCCUGCGGUUUAAUUGGACUCAACGCCGGACAACUCACCGGGAACGACAGCAAUAUGUAGGCCAGGCUGAAGACCUUGCCUGAAUCGCUG